AUUGAACGCUGGCGGCAGGCCUAACACAUGCAAGUCGAGCGGAUGAAGGGAGCUUGCUCCUGGAUUCAGCGGCGGACGGGUGAGUAAUGCCUAGGAAUCUGCCUGGUAGUGGGGGAUAACGUCCGGAAACGGGCGCUAAUACCGCAUACGUCCUGAGAGAGAAAGUGGGGGAUCUUCGGACCUCACGCUAUCAGAUGAGCCUAGGUCGGAUUAGCUAGUUGGUGGGGUAAAGGCCUACCAAGGCGACGAUCCGUAACUGGUCUGAGAGGAUGAUCAGUCACACUGGAACUGAGACACGGUCCAGACUCCUACGGGAGGCAGCAGUGGGGAAUAUUGGACAAUGGGCGAAAGCCUGAUCCAGCCAUGCCGCGUGUGUGAAGAAGGUCUUCGGAUUGUAAAGCACUUUAGGUUGGGAGGAAGGGCAGUAAGUUAAUACCUUGCUGUUUUGACGUUACCAACAGAAUAAGCACCGGCUAACUUCGUG
rnacentral:rRNA from 1 species